ACUGACUUGCUUUUUGAGUUAGUUUGUUCUUUUGGCUCCUUUGUUUCUAUCUGUCACACCUGCCCUUACCUUCGUUUUGUGAUUCCUGAGCAAGUCUCAAGCAAGUCCCAAGUUACAGUGAUGAAAGUCAUGUCAUUGCUUCGGUCAAGCAACUCACAAGUCAAGUCAUAUGAAAUUCUUAGGAAUUCACAGUUUAAGAAAGGUGGCAAUUCAACUGCAUAAUCAUUUUGGUGAUGUAGUGAGUGUUUCUGUUCUAACUAUUGAACUAUACACAAAGGUGUUUCUAUUUAGUUUACUGAAAUUGGGUAGAAUAAUAGAAAUGUGUCAGUAACGGUAAGCUCUUACCAUUCCUGUGAACUGACAAUACAUUUUAUAUUGUCACAAAAUUGAGAUAUUCAAACUGUAUGUGAUAUCACAGAGGAUGAAGGAGCUGUAAAACUUGCAUAACAUCCCUUCAAGCAAAUGUAAACAACAUCUCUGCUGGUUUCUCAUACAGGAGAUGCUAAUACUAGACUAAGGCAGAGCACAGGCUCAAAUUGAGGCGAAACGGUUUGAUUCCCAGGGCUUCUGCCCUAUUUCAGAGUAAACUUCAACUCUCCAAUGGCUUUUGUGAUUAACACUCACCACAUGGGAGCUGAUAACAGUACAUAUCAAAUUGUCAGAUCUGACAUCAGUACUGGAGAUGAGAUAUUAAAGCUGGGGUAGGUAACAGAGAAACUAGCAAGAGACAGCUAGACACUUAAAGGGAAUCUAAAUUGACGUAUUAGUCGUCAUCGGUCAGGAAAUCUUCAUGGUCCCUCCAUGGACACACUAAUCCUUCCAUUGUCCUCUGCAGUGCCAGAGCGCAGCCAUGCAGCAUUACACAUGAGUGCCAGGCAUAAUUUAUGUUUACAGCAAUCAUACAGAGUAACACCUGGCCAAAAUGAUCACCUCAGCCAGUGGUAUCCCCCACCCUGGGAGACCUUUUUGAAUGGUUGUGACAGCACAGCUGUAGGGAGUGACGCUACAGGGUGUGAGGUGGGUGUGUUGGCAAGGAUUGGCUGAGUGGACGCGGGAGAUUUUAAAUCGCCAUACUUCCGCAUUAUCUGCCCCUCUCAUCGCCACAGUGACAUCAGCGCUUGCUGUCUGCAUUAUUCACCUUCGCGCUGUUUGUUCACUGGCUCCUCUUCCUGGCUGUCUGUUAUGCAUUUGCUUGGUCUCUUCGGCGUCCCCGUGUGUAUGUGUGGGAGGAUUCCCCUUCUCCGGGCCAUACGUCAGUCUUCCUUCGCUGCCCGGUGCAGGAUCAGCCUCAUUCUCCCCGCUGUCCUGCCUCUCAGUGACAGUUGAAUUGCCUCCUAAUUGAGUUGCCUCUGAGUGAUAGUUCAGCUGCUCCUCAGUGUUGACGGAUUUAAAACAUUUUUAGCUGGA